rnacentral:rRNA from 1 species
UACGUAGGGUGCAAGCGUUGUCCGGAUUUAUUGGGCGUAAAGAGCUCGUAGGCGGUUUGGCAAGUCGGGUGUGAAAACUUCAGGCUCAACCUGGAGAUGCCACCCGAGACUGCUAUGACUGGAGUCUGGUAGGGGAGCACGGAAUUCCUGGUGUAGCGGUGAAAUGCGCAGAUAUCAGGAGGAACACCAAUAGCGAAGGCAGCUCGCUGGGACGGUACUGACACUGAGGCGCGAAAGCGUGGGGAGCGAACAGG